GAUGAAGAACGUAGCGAAAUGCGAUAAGUAGUGUGAAUUGCAGAAUUCAGUGAAUCAUCGAAUCUUUGAACGCACAUUGCGCCCCUUGGUAUUCCAUGGGGCAUGCCUGUUCGAGCGUCAUUUGUACCUUCAAGCUUUGCUUGGUGUUGGGUGUUUGUCUCGCCUUUGCGUGUAGACUCGCCUUAAAAUAAUUGGCAGCCGGCGUAUUGAUUUCGGAGCGCAGUACAUCUCGCGCUUUGCACUCAUAACGACAGCGUCCAAAAGUACAUUUUACACUCUUGACCUCGGAUCAGGAAGGGAUACCCGCUGAACUUAAGCAUAUCAAUAAGCGGAGGA
rnacentral:misc_RNA from 1 species